GCCUGGGUGGCUCAGUGGUUGAGCAUCUGCCUUUGGCUCAGGUCAUGAUGCCAGAGUCCUGGGAUCAAAACCCGCAUCCAGGCU
rnacentral:tRNA from 1 species